UACGGAGGGUGCAAGCGUUGUUCGGAAUUAUUGGGCGUAAAGCGCGUGUAGGCGGCUACUCAAGUCCGAUGUGAAAGCCCGGGGCUCAACCCCGGAAGUGCAUUGGAAACUGGGUGGCUUGAGUACGGGAGAGGGAGGUGGAAUUCCGAGUGUAGGGGUGAAAUCCGUAGAUAUUCGGAGGAACACCGGUGGCGAAGGCGGCCUCCUGGACCGAUACUGACGCUGAGACGCGAAAGCGUGGGGAGCAAACAGG
rnacentral:rRNA from 1 species